AUGUUUUUCUCCCUGUCCUUAGUAGUUAUAACAGGUUUAAUCGUGUAAAGCAGCUAACUAAUUCGACACACUGGGCUAAUUAAUGCUCUAGCUUUAGCUAACUUAAUCUGAGGACCGUUAUUAAAGUCGUGCGCGCGCGCGCGCGCGGACUGUUUGGCGACGCGCGCUCGCGCCGCUGGGACGCUGCAGUAGGUGUUGGUGUCCGUCCAUUCUCUGUCAGUCAGGUGGACUCGGAAAAAAAAAAUCACAAAGAAAGAGUGUUUUGUCUGUUUUUCUGUCAAGAAUGUCGAUUUGAUACGAGUGAAAAACGGCAGCGCGGAAUUCUGACUGACUUUGUGUGGGGAAAAUAACGAACUAGCGAGCUUUACUAUGGCUGCUUUGGAUGAAUCUGAAGUUGACGCGAACGUCGUCGGUUAAAGGCGGAGUUUUUGAGGACCAGCGCGUUCAUCGGGACAUGAGACCAGAAGACGUCCAUCAGAUGGAGCAAGCACGAAACUCUAAGAGAUUUAGGGUUGUUCUCUGUCUCUGUCCCCCAGAACGUACAGAAAUGCGAACAGCAGAGACGAGAGCCUCCAUCAGAGUUAUCGGGACGAACAGAGUCACUGUUGACACUGGCAGGGGUCACCGGGUGCACGUUCUAGAUUUUGAUGCCGUGUGGAAUGAAGGGGCUUCACCGAAAGACAUCUAUGAGUCAACGACAAAGUCAUUGGUGGAGUAUGUGAUGAAGGGUUAUAAUGGAUGUGUCGUAUUGUAUGGACAGUCCACCAGCGGAGAGACACACCCAGUUCAAGCCUGCACAGCCAGACAGAGGGGCAUCAUCAGCCGUACUGCUGACGACAUCUUUAAUUCUCCAGAGGCCUCUCACUGCAGAGUCAGGGUGUCCUCUUAUCACAUCUCUAAUGAGAAGAUUUACGACCUGUUGGAGCCUCAGGUGAGUGAGGUGUGCCGUAUCCACGACACAGAGGAAGUGGUGCUACUGGAGGGGCUGAGAGAGCUGGAGGUCGGCUCUGCUCAGGAACUGAUGGACGUGUACCACAGUGGGAUCACCCACAGGAACACAGGUGUCUCUAAAGGUGAUUUUGCCAGCAAGUCUCAUAUGGUGUUAAACAUUAUGGUCAUAAACAUGAGAGGCAAGUCUGAUAAAGAAGGAGUUUUGACAGCCAGCAAACUUACUCUGGUGGAUCUUGCAAGUUCAGGCAAAUCCACAUGUAACAGUUCUGCAGUUCUGGAUAUGAGAAGAAGUUUCCAUGUGGCUCAAGAAAACCUUCAGGAGGCCAAAACAAUUAAACGAUCCCUUACAAUCUUUAGAAAUGUGAUAUUUUCUCUGAGUAACACAGGCUCUCAACACAUUCCAUACAGAGAGUCCAAACUCACUCGUGUUCUGAGAGACUGUCUUGGAGGAAACUGUCGGACGUGUCUUAUGGUCACCGUGCCAACCCAGUCGUCGUCCGUCACGGAGACUAUGAGCUGCCUGCAGUUUGCUGCACAGGCUUUGAACAUACCUUCACGGCCCAUACACACCUCCCAGAUCCGCUACACACCUGCACAGGUACAAAACAUGUGGACAGCAGAGAAGAACAGUCUUCUUCUGACUCGAACACAGAUCCUCCCACCAGUCAGUGGACGAUCUCAGACCUCCUUGCCAUCUAUUGUAAGCAGUCCAGGACCUCUCACUCAGCUCAAACCCAGACGCAGCCUGGAGAUUUCAGAGAACCGCUGCUUCUUGCCACACCUAGAGAAACCCAGACUACCAGAACCGAGUAGAUAUCACAGCUGCAGCUCUCGGAUUACAGAGGAAAAGACCGGAGCAGUGGAUGAGUGUGUCGUGAAAAGUGCCAUCCCACUCUCCCGAUGCCUCUCUGGGUCUGUUUUUGCGGAGCCCCUUCGCCGUCGCUCUGCUGAGAAACCUUCGUCCUCGCUCGGCUCUUCAUCCAUCCCUCCACCGCUCCUUGAGUGCUCCAACUGCAAACAGGAACGAAAGAUCAGGGAGGAGUACGACAAAUUUAUCGUUCAGGUGAAGAGAGAUAGAGACAGCCUGAGCCAGAGAGUGACAGAGCUGGAGAAAGAGCUGAAGAACAGAGGAGGAGAGCAGAGAGAGAGCGGAAGAGUGGAGAAAGACAAGCGAAGAGCAGAGAGCGACAUCGGAAGACAUGAGACAGCGACUGGAAGUAAUGAAACCGAGAACGGAAAAAAGACUGAAGGCGAAGUGAGACAGAUGAGUAGAGAGGGAGACGAAAGAGAAAUUGGAAAAGACAAGAUUGAAAUAGAGGGUAAUGAUGACAGAAGGCAGUUCAGAGGGACAGAGCAGAAGGAGGGGGAAAGAGAAGAAGAAAGAGAGAGAAGAGAGGAAAGGGAGGGAGAUAAAGAGAAUGACUCGACUGGAAAGGAAUCUAUCAGCACCUCACAUGGAGUAACAGAGGCGCCAAAAAACACUGAGGAGAGCCUACUGUCUGAGCUGCACAGCAUCAGAAAGGAGUAUGAAGGGCUGAGGAAGAGUGCGGCUCUGUCCAUCACACGGCUCCAUAAAGAAAAGGCUGAGCUGCUCUCUCACAUAGAUGACACCAAAAGCUGCUAUGAGAAAGUUUGUUUAGAGAAUGCAGAACUAAAAGCAAGACUUGAAGCCCUCUUGAAAGAAGCCAACUCCAGACCAUGCUCUGGUUGCAAUGGCAACACCGACACACACGGCUCACACACACACACGAAUGUGCACAACUCACACAUGGACACACGCUCUUCACACACACACACGGUCACCACUAAUACGGAAAUGCUUGUUGUGUCACACAGUGUUUGUCAAGAGUGCACCAGUGAUCUUCCUCAGGAUAAAGGGAGUAAGUGUUGCUUUAGCUCAUGUUCUGGCUUCCCUGAAUCAACUGAACCACCUGAGCCGACUUCACACACCUGCCGCUGUGAACCAACACUCCACAAACCCAGCCUCUACAAACAACUAAGACGGGAGCACAGUCUAUUGCUGGACGUGAUGCUGGUGUUGUACAAAAGAGAGUGGUUCCUGCAGGACGCCAUGCCGUACGUCAGACGCACACUCAAAAAAUGUGGCCUCACUCUGGAAGACUCGGACUGAAGGAGAACAUGGAGCUGACUGGCCUCCAGCUACAGGGUCCAUGUGAGUGGAAGGACACCGCCUAGGAGCAAAGAGCAUGCCAGGAAGCUGGGGUCAGAGUGCAGGGUCAGCCAUGAUACAGCGCCCCCUGGAGCAGAGAGGGUUAAGGGCCUUGCUCAAGGGCCCAACAGUGGCAGCUUGGCAGUGCUGGGACUUGAACCCCCCGACCUUCUGAUCAGUAACCCAGAGCCUUAACCGUGGAGUGAUAGACAUCCAAAUCUCUUCCCAUGAGUGGGGGUCUUUCUGAUGGCAGGAAAUGCUGAAGGGAAUGAGGAGAUACUACAAUCUCAGCUCUGUCUGCACACACACACACACCAAGAUCAUCAGUGUUAGAUGAGCUCUGAGAUGUCCUGCAUACACUGUGACAGUGAGACCACACCGUGAGAUGUCACGAAUACAGGAAGACAGGAGGAAGAUACAAAUAUCGUGUGAAUGCUGCUACUGUAAAGAGUCUGAAGUCUAUCCCAGAGAACUCGGGGCACAAGGUGGGGCACACCCUGGACAGGCUGCCAAACCAUCGCAGGGUACGAUCACACACAGUUUGGACUGGAGGAGGAAACCGGAGUACCUGGAGGAAAGCCUGUAGCACGGGGAGAACAUGCAAACUCCACACACUGGGCUGUUACAGGAUUGGAUUGUAAUCAAAAUAAACAAUGCAUCUCCAACCUCAAGUAGCUCAAAGGCCACGGAUAAGAGACUAAAGACACAGAAUACAUAUACAGUAUCUCACAAAAUGGCAUCUAGUCCUGGACUAACACGCUUGAACACACCACCUUCAGCUCGUCGGUUUAUUUAUUUUAUCGGACAUGAAAACCAUCAGGUGUGUAAUUUAAAGAAACGACGACGACACUGAACGGAACAUUUCUGUGGUUUUUGCAGGUCUGUAUGAUGAGUAGUUUUAACUCUGUCAACAUGAAACAUAAACAAAAUCAGCCAUUAGCAGGAAGGAGACAUGAGUGAAAGGAGAGAAAGGAGAAACCCUGUCUGAUUUCAUCUAAUUAACCUAAUCACACAAACGAUCCUCUUCCACAAGGACAGCGGCUGAUUAAUCUAAUCACAGUAACGAGCCUCUCGUCAUCAUGCUGCCGGCUGCUAUUGUUUCGUCCAUCAUUCACUAAUAAUGCACACCUUCUUACGUUUUCUCUCUCAGUGAAAACACCGAAUGGUGCCGAUCUAAAAAGAGGACUGUUUUUAUUUGUUUGUACACUUUGGGUGUGAGAACCAGCUGAACUGUUACACCGCUGCAAAGUGAGCUUAUAAACCACUGACAAAAUAAUAAUUGUUCAGAAAACAAGGGGGCCGCACGGUGGUUAGUGGUUAGUUCACCUCACACUUCGAGGGCUGGGGGUUUGGAGUGCUGCCGGGGUUUCCUCCGGGUAGUCCGGUUUCCUCCCCCAGUCCAAACACAUGCAUGGUAGGCUGAUCGGCAUGUCCGUAGCGUAUGAGUGAGUGCGUGUGAGUGUGUAUGUGAUUGUGCCCUGCGAUGGAUUGGCACCCUGUCCAGGUUGUACCCCGCCUUGCUCCAGGUUCCCCACGACCCUGUAGGAUAAGCGGUAUAGAAGAUGGAUGGAUGGAUAGACAAAAAAAAAAAAGGUUAAGAAGUUUUGAAGGCAUCGUGUAGAUAGUCAGAAGCCAUAUUUAUUAACCUAAUAACUUUUUUAAAAAAAUAUUUUCACUUUACCUAAUAGGUGCCUUAAAAUAAAUGAUAGCUGCAUGAUAAAAUAUGCAAUAAGGAAUUACAAGGUGCAUUCAAGGUGUGUUCUUUAGGUAUAACAUUUUAAUAUCACGAAUAGUAUUACAAUUCUUUUGAGGUUUUUUUUUUUUUUUAAUAAUCAUUAUGAAAUUAUUGUCCAUACACAUUUUAUGUAAUUACUUGAAUUCUUUCAAA